rnacentral:rRNA from 1 species
AAAGCGUAAUAGCUCACUGGUCGAGUCGGCCUGCGCGGAAGAUGUAACGGGGCUAAACCAUGCACCGAAGCUGCGGCAGCGAACGUAUCACCCAAGACAACUUUGCGGAGUUGACGAUUGACGGAGCGAAGCGACGUCAAAGCGUUCAUUAAAGUCGAGUUGGCUUAGGGAUACGUUCGUUGGGUAGGGGAGCGUUCUGUAAGCCUGUGAAGGUGGCCUGUGAGGGUUGCUGGAGGUAUCAGAAGUGCGAAUGCUGACAUAAGUAACGAUAAAGCGGGUGAAAAGCCCGCUCGCCGGAAGACCAAGGGUUCCUGUCCAACGUUAAUCGGGGCAGGGUGAGUCGACCCCUAAGGCGAGGCCGAAAGGCGUAGUCGAUGGGAAACGGGUUAAUAUUCCCGUACUUGGUGUUACUGCGAAGGGGGGACGGAGAAGGCUAUGUUGGCCGGGCGACGGUUGUCCCGGUUUAAGCGUGUAGGUGUGUGUUCCAGGUAAAUCCGGUUCACUUUAACACUGAGGCGUGACGACGAGGCACUACGGUGCUGAAGCAACAAAUGCCCUGCUUCCAGGAAAAGCCUCUAAGCAUCAGGUAACAUCAAAUCGUACCCCAAACCGACACAGGUGGUCAGGUAGAGAAUACCAAGGCGCUUGAGAGAACUCGGGUGAAGGAACUAGGCAAAAUGGUGCCGUAA